GAAGAAUCCAUCUGUACACGGAGGGAUUUAUCAGGAGGUGUUUGUUAAAAGGAUGUAAUGCUUAGAAAAAUAAUAAAGAAUCCUCCCUCCCACACAUGCCCAUAAGAGGUUUUUGUCAGCGCAGUGCCCUACAUGGGAAGGUGACAUUUGAGAGAACAAUUGCCGGGCUGUUAUGCCAUGCCUGCACUAUGAAUGGGGCUUAAGAAAAGGUGUCCUUGGACUCCCAUCAUCUCCUCCAUCCCCUGCCUCCUGACACGGGCCAGCAGCGUGCAAACAGAGCAGCGUGGGAGAUGAGAGGGGAGCACACUCCAAGUUCAUUGCCUUAGUGUGCAGCCAGCUCGUCCCACUGCUGCACGGGGAUGCUGAGGAUGCUGCUGGAGAAUGCACAGACAAGGAAGGACAGUGGGGAGGGGGAAGCUCGGGGGCUUUCUGCAGCUUUGUCCUUUGGGCUGAGCUGGGUGUGAGCUGUGUUUUGGCCAUGCACCUGCUGCAGAUGUCGGAAUGGCUUUCUUUGCACAAACACCUGGAUGCGUAGGUCUGGCCAGGAAACCUUCAAGUAGGAGCACUUUCCCUUCUAAGCAGGGCAGCCCCUCCACCCCUUGGGCUCUGUGACAUCCCUGCGGUCGCCCCCCCGGCUCUGCGCUGCAGGAACGACAGCAGAGCCCUCAUCUGCUGGGGGGGGGGGAGCGAGUCCCUGCCUGAGCUGUGGGGGUAGGAAAGGAAGAGGAAGGAGGGAUGAAGGUCACCUUCCGCUGCCCCGGGAUGGUAACGAACCCCACGCAAAGGCCCAGGUCGAGCUCUCCAGAGUCAUUAUCGCAACAGGCUGCGAAAGUCUGUCUUCCAGACCAAGGAGAAAAUGCAGUGGGAGAGAAGAUCCACUCUUCUGAGGACAGAGUACUUGGCCAACGUUGAGUGAAUCCUGGUGCACCGUAGGACAGCAGUCAUUAUCAUCAUUGUUAUACUGGCCUCCAAAACCCAGAGUCCUGCUCUAGAUGGCUCUGCUACUAAGAAGGACAAUGCAAGGAUGGAGAAAAUUGGGUGUUGGAUGGAACCGGUGACCACCUGGGCUUCACUUCUCAUCUCUGCUGAUGCGCCCUAAAUUUGGGCUCCUCUCCAACGCGUUUGGAGCAGCAGUGCUGAGAACGUUGCGCUGAACCCUCCAUCCACCACUGAGGAAAACGCACAGCGGAGGAAAGUCAGGUUCCAGAUUGCUCAGCAGAAAGGAAAAACCAGCUUGGAAGCCCCUCUGGAAGAGGGCCAGGCAGUAAUCUCACGGCGUGUGGGUGAGAAUGGCAGCAUCUCCUUUGGCCUCUGACGGAGCUGCUCACGCUCAGCAUCCAACCUCCUCCGUUUAUAGCCCCGAUUUCCAACCAGCUAAAUGAAAAUACUUGUGGGCAGCAAAAAUAGCCAGUGCUGAAAACCUGUGUCUACCGAGGGUGGAAAUUGCUGGGAGUUCCUCUGUGUCCACAGCUGAUCAUUAGGAGCGGUGGCAUAAAUCCGGCGGUUGCGCGGCGUGCCGCGGGCGGGCUCCCUGCAGAGACCCAGGGCUGAGUGCCCACCGCAGCCCAUGGGAUGCUCUGAGGAUGCUGCUGAGGAAUUGGCUUUUUGGGGGGAAGGAGGAAAAAGCAGCAUGCGUUUUUCCCUUGCAUCAGCACGGUAUGCAGUGGGGUGGAGUUUGCGAUCAUGAGAGUUAAGCUCGUUUCUGCUCCCUCUGUGGGACAGGGGAUGUGGUGCUGGGAUGAGAGUGGGGUUGCACGGAGCUGCUGAGGUUGCUCCAUCUAUGGUGGUGUGUUCACAGUGCAGAAUUGAUCGCCGUAAGUAUGCAAAUGUGCCAUGCAAACAUAUGCAAAUCCUGAUCUUUUAUCAGCUGGCAAGAUACAGUUAAACACUAUAACUGGGAGGCCCAGCAGCCAGCAGAGGAGCGCUGCAGGGCAGUGCCAGGGCUCAGCUGCCAGCAGCACAGGCUGGGAAUGCUGUAGGUUGCUGUUGUGUUAUAGCAGCAGCAAGGAAGUGUUUUGCUUCAUCAUUUAGCAAAGGCAGUCGUGCAAUGAGGCAAUGCCACCAUUGGUACUUUGGUUGACUCUCCUUGCAGCUCCAGGAGUGAGUGGGGGUGCACUGACCAUCAGCUCAUAUUGCUCCUGUACUGACUCAUUUAUCUUUUGGUGCUCAUUCUCCAACACCACAUGGAAAUGCUUGAGCAGCCACUCUAACCUUUGGGCUGCAAUAAUGAGCCUCACAUGGCAUCUGAUUGGCAACAUGUGGUCUGGGUCAUUGCUUUGCUUCAGCUGCUUGUUAGGCCCUGAUCUCCAUUUGAUUUCAAGGUGAAACUAAUGGGAUUUUGUUGAGGCUCCUCUGGUUCAGCGUGGAUCUCACAGCUAAGCAUCCUGCUGGAGGCAGGGGAGGGGUCAGAGCUGAACUGACUUCUUCUGGUGCAACUCCAGUGCUGCAGGGAAUGGAGGCAAUGUUCUGCUACAUGUGGACUCUGCUGGUGCACCUCUGGACUCAGUUGGAAGCAGGUGUUCCUGUUAGAGAUCGUGGAGCAGACAAAUGCAGCAAGCUCUUGUCAGAAAACAGGAACCUGUGAUGGUCAGCCCUUGAUUGGAAGGGGAUCCCUCAGUGCUGGAUCUGGAAUACAAACAUUUGCCAAGAGGUAAACACAUCUGGCAAAACCUUCACUUGCUAAGAAGUCAUCUGACUUGGAAGGAUAUUUCCCAGAGAAUAUGAGAACAUAUCAGAUCAACUCUGCAAAGGAUUGGCCUUCUUCACUCAUGUUUUCCAUAAGAUCCUGGCCAACUUGGCCAAUAACUGAGGCAAGGAACGGGGAAAAAAAAGGCCUACCUGGAAUGACUUGAGGGAAGAACCUCCAUAGCUGAGUGGGGAACCCAGACCAAUGAAAUGUGAAAGAAGGUGCCUAAAACCUGACACCCCAGCUUGCCAAGGGGCAUUUUGAGAUCCCACCUCGCCUGGCAUCGCAGCAGGGGCAACGAAACUCAACGGAAGAUCCCUGUGGAUCAGCUUGUACCUUUUUCCUGCUGAAAGGCUGUGCAGAAAGCAAGGAUGAAGCAACUGCAAGAUUUAUGUUGGAACUGGUUCCCCAUGGAUCAGAAUGUGAAUAACACCUCCAUCCCCUCCCAAACCUUCCAGACCUGACCUUUCACAAUCACCAUUUCCUGACCAGUGACUCCAAAGAAAAUAGAGCUGCUAGUUGGUAUUUAAUGGAAAUCUGCACAAAACUUGUCAAAAUACACCACCAUGGCUGUCAGAUGCCUGGGACAAGACCUCUACAGUAGUUUCCAGAAACCCAGUGCAAUUACUUACAUUUUAAAUUAUCUUUAAUUGUGGCGUGUGAGCUACAGAAACAUUUCUUCCCCCCUCUGAAGCAAGACCUCACUAUUAAGAGUCACCCCCUAAUUGCAGCUCUAAUGGGGAGCUGGGGCAGGUCAGCACCAGGGUUAGCACAGGGUGAAGUGAGAGCGGCCACAGAGCACUGGGAAGUGGAGAUGACACAGCACAACACUCAUGGAGGGGCAGCUUGGAGUGUCAGCUUCUUAGCACAUUUAAUUACCCCACCAGAUGUUCUAAUCCAGUCUUCCUGCCCAUCCCCUGCCAGCAAAUGUGACAUUUUGUUGUGUUUCUGACUGUGGACUCAUAGGAUGGCUUGGAUUGGGGAUCAUCCUUAAGGAUCAGCCAAUUGCCCUGGAGUUUGUCUAGAAUAAACUCAGUGAGUUGCUUCUUGGGCUUUUCCCUUGCAGGAACUGAGCAUCCUUUUGCUACCCAAGUGAUUGCUCAGGUCUGAGUGUGGCUGCACACACGCUUGGUAUGUGUAGGACUGAACUGAAUCAGGCUGAACUCAUGGAUUGACAUGGAUAUCACAGAGGGUGCAAGACUGAUGAAAAAUAGAUGAGGUGGUGGUGCAAAUCUGCUCAAGAGCUGAAUGACAACUGUUAGCCUGGCAAUGCUGAAUUCAAGCAGUCCCUGUCAAUAGUGUGAGAGAUGCUGCACCAGAUUUUCUGGGGCUGCUUGCAAAUUGACCCAGUGUUCCUGUUGACACAAAACCUUGGAAGCGCAUUGCUGAACACGCCUGAUUUGCUCACAGAUUGUGGUCAGAUGUGAGCAUGAAAGCAAAUACUUGCCUAUGUAUCGAGGAGAGGGGAAAAUAGUGACUUAACCAUAGACACAAAUGCAUGACAUUACCUUCCAGGAUGGUAGAUAGCAGAUGUGCAGCACAGGGCAUGAACCAACAUGGGGAGGAGUUUCCUCAGUCAGUGAAUGUGGACAUGCAACAUGUUGACUGCAUGGAAAAAUCUCCUUCUCUCUUCUUCUUUCCUUAAGAGGAAAAAGAAAACUCACAAAUCAGAAGUCUCAAACUGUUCUUUGUUAAAGCACCACUUGAACGAUUUGCUUAAUUUUCACCACUUACUGCAUUAAUUGCUGCUUUUCUUCCCUUCAGCCCCAUCCUGUUCCCCAGACAGAGAGCAUUCGGACUUGUCCCAAGCACAGCUUCAGCCACACACCUGCAGGAUGGAAACAGGCAGAGCAAACAAUGAAACGAGGCUGUUUAUAAAGCCUUCAACACGUCAGGCAGGGAGAAGAGCCCAAGUUUCCACGUCAAGGCCUAAACGGACCAGAAUGACGCAAAACACAUGGAAAAUAUGGAAAAUGUGGAAUAAGUAAUAAAAUUAUAAAUAAAACAAAUACAAUAAAUUGGGAAUGCAGUUUUACUCAUAAUGAUUUGUGUUCCUAGUAACCCAAGACUCCCUUACCUUUGAA